AGUGAACGCUGGCGGUAGGCCUAACACAUGCAAGUCGAACGGCAACACAGUAAGAGCUUGCUCUUACGGGUGGCGAGUGGCGGACGGGUGAGGAAUGCAUCGGAAUCUACUUUUUCGGGGGGGAUAACGUAGGGAAACUUACGCUAAUACCGCAUACGACCUACGGGUGAAAGCAGGGGAGCUUCGGACCUUGCGCGAUUGAAUGAGCCGAUGUCGGAUUAGCUAGGUGGCGGGGUAAAGGCCCACCAAGGCGACGAUCCGUAGCUGGUCUGAGAGGAUGAUCAGCCACACUGGAACUGAGACACGGUCCAGACUCCUACGGGAGGCAGCAGUGGGGAAUAUUGGACAAUGGGCGCAAGCCUGAUCCAGCCAUACCGCGUGGGUGAAGAAGGCCUUCGGGUUGUAAAGCCCUUUUGUUGGGAAAGAAAAGCAGCAGGUUAAUACCCCGCUGUUCUGACGGUACCCAAAGAAUAAGCACCGGCUAACUUCGUG
rnacentral:rRNA from 1 species